GGGCCGGUAGCUCAGUGGCAGAGCAGCUGGCUCAUAACCAGUUGGUCGGACGUUCGAUCCGUCCCCGGCCCA
rnacentral:tRNA from 1 species